rnacentral:rRNA from 1 species
AUGGCCGCCCUAUCCGCUCGGCCCCCUGGCAAUCCUUGCCGCCGCCCCGCCAUAGACGUCCACCCUAUGGAGCUCCCUCCUCCACUGGUGUCCGGCUGCCUCCCUAUCCCUUGCCACAUCUACGCAUGGACCUCUAUGAGGGGAGAGUUCAUCAUCUCAGGGCACCACAUCAACACUCCAAGAGAUGUGUGGAGCAAGCACUGUGACAAUGCAGUAAAGGAAAAUAAUGCAUGCUUGUAUGUCUACGUCUUCAACGAGAUUUGUUGUAAAAGUUUAUUUUUUUCCUUGUGCGUCAAUUGA